rnacentral:rRNA from 1 species
UACGUAAGUGGCGAGCGUUAUCCGGAAUUACUGGGCGUAAAGCGCGCGUAGGCGGCUUUUCAAGUCGAUUGUGAAAUCCCCGGGCUUAACCUGGGAACUGCAGUCGAGACUGUCUAGCUAGAGUAUGGGAGAGGGAAGUGGAAUUUCAGGUGUAGCGGUGAAAUGCGUAGAUAUCUGAAGGAACAUCAGUGGCGAAAGCGACUUCCUGGCCUGUUCUUGACGCUGAGGCGCGAAAGCUAGGGGAGCAAACGGG